rnacentral:rRNA from 1 species
AACGAACGCUGGCGGCAUGCCUAACACAUGCAAGUCGAACGAGACCUUCGGGUCUAGUGGCGCACGGGUGCGUCACGCGUGGGAACCUGCCCUUAGGUUCGGAAUAACUCCCCGAAAGGGGUGCUAAUACCGGAUAAUGUCUUCGGACCCAAGAUUUAUCGCCCUUGGAUGGGCCCGCGUUGGAUUAGCUAGUUGGUAGGGUAAAAGCCUACCAAGGCGACGAUCCAUAGCUGGUCUGAGAGGAUGGUCAGCCACACUGGGGCUGGGACACGGCCCAGACUCCUACGGGAGGCAGCAAUGGGGAAUAUUGGAAAAUGGGCGAAAGCAUGAACCAGCAAUGCCGCGAAAGUGAUGAAGGCGUUAGGGUUGUAAAGCUCUUUUAAACGGGAUGAUAAUGACAGUACCGGGAGAAUAAGCACCGGCUAACUCCGUG